GCGCCAAGCCUCCUUCCUAUUUUUUCAUUUGGCCUUCAACAGGUGCCACGACCAAAUCCAAAUCCCCCAAACCUAAAUCCUCUCACGCUCUCCCUCCGCCGCCGCCCACUAGCUAGCAGCCCGCACGCCGUCGACCACCCGCCGUCUCCAGCACGCCGUCACCUGUCUCCUUCAUCCUCCUGCACCCCCACUACUUAGGCCCCGAACACUUCUAACCUUAGCUUGUGCGCUGGAGUUCGGGGAGAGGCCAAGGCGCAGUGGUGGACGCCGCCAUCCCUCUCAGAUCCGGGGCUUAGAGAGGGAGGGAGGGAGGGAGAGGGAGGGAGAGGUGGGUCACCUACGAGAUAGAGCACUCGCACCCUCGCUCGUCAGUUAUCACCCAGGGGCCGCCACCACCGCCGCCACGCAAUGGGCUUCCUCCGAUCUACGCUCGCCGGUUCGUUUGAAGAUGGAUCUGGCCGUUGACUGCUGGUGCUUCCCCUCCCCGGGUGAUCAGUCAUGACUUGGGAUAGUACUUCUAUCCAGCAAGCAGCGUUUUGGAUGUGAGCUCCAGCUCAAGCAGAGCAAUAAAAAACAGGGGCUCUAUCUGCUAAUGGGGUAGCCGGCAAUGCAGUCUAAGAGCUACAUCUCGUGUGAUUUCUGGAUAUGAGAACUUGAGAAGAACAAGCUUGAUGCUAUUAUUGAAAAAAAUAAUCUAUGCUACAGGAUUCUUCUUUGCACCCCGUACACUUAGACGGAGUGGGAGGCUACCGCAGCGGCGCUAGGCUUGGAGCCCAAGCCAUCCGACGCCGCCAACAGGUGCUGACAGUCUGACGCCUUCAGAAUUGGCUCUCAAAACUUUCAACCAAGAUUAGAGCUAGCAUACAGUUUGCAGUUUAUAGUCAUACUCAUACUCAAUGAGUCCCUACCUUGGCUUCUGGGCAAGAUAUUCUUUAAUUUUAGAAGUUGCGGAAGUGUAAUGCUGACUCUACUCGAAUGAUGAUUAUCCCUACGUGCAUAACAUAUUAUAAAGAGAUCUUCCUACAUGCCCCUUUUUUGAUUAGGAACCACUAUUGUUCAGGAAUUUUGAGUGGCGCACAUCCUGGUCUGGCGAGCCGAUGAUCGGACAUCAUUUGUCAAGGAAGCAAAAAGGACUACUCGCAAGGAACCAUGAAGCCAACGAUCCACGUCAAGUAGAUGUUUUAGUUUUCAUUUUGUACAGCUGAUGUCUCAUACUUGCAUCUUUUGGUUGUCCUUUUGUAAACCUGAUGUAUGGUUUCUCGGUGGUUUUGUUUAGAACAGAUUGAAGUAUAUGUAUGUGCCAAUUAGUUAAUGGAAUAAAAAAUGUUUGGUGCUCCCGAUUUGAGCCUGA